rnacentral:rRNA from 1 species
AUGAACGCUAGCUACAGGCUUAACACAUGCAAGUCGAGGGGCAGCAUGGUCUUAGCUUGCUAAGGCCGAUGGCGACCGGCGCACGGGUGAGUAACACGUAUCCAACCUGCCGUCUACUCUUGGACAGCCUUCUGAAAGGAAGAUUAAUACAAGAUGGCAUCAUGAGUCCACAUGUUCACAUGAUUAAAGGUAUUCCGGUAGACGAUGGGGAUGCGUUCCAUUAGAUAGUAGGCGGGGUAACGGCCCACCUAGUCUUCGAUGGAUAGGGGUUCUGAGAGGAAGGUCCCCCACAUUGGAACUGAGACACGGUCCAAACUCCUACGGGAGGCAGCAGUGAGGAAUAUUGGUCAAUGGGCGAGAGCCUGAACCAGCCAAGUAGCGUGAAGGAUGACUGCCCUAUGGGUUGUAAACUUCUUUUGUAAAGGAAUAAAGUCGGGUAUGGAUACCCGUUUGCAUGUACUUUAUGAAUAAGGAUCGGCUAACUCCGUGCCAGCAGCCGCGGUAAUACGGAGGAUCCGAGCGUUAUCCGGAUUUAUUGGGUUUAAAGGGAGCGUAGAUGGAUGUUUAAGUCAGUUGUGAAAGUUUGCGGCUCAACCGUAAAAUUGCAGUUGAUACUGGAUAUCUUGAGUGCAGUUGAGGCAGGCGGAAUUCGUGGUGUAGCGGUGAAAUGCUUAGAUAUCACGAAGAACUCCGAUUGCGAAGGCAGCCUGCUAAGCUGCAACUGACAUUGAGGCUCGAAAGUGUGGGUAUCAAACAGGAUUAGAUACCCUGGUAGUCCACACGGUAAACGAUGAAUACUCGCUGUUUGCGAUAUACGGCAAGCGGCCAAGCGAAAGCGUUAAGUAUUCCACCUGGGGAGUACGCCGGCAACGGUGAAACUCAAAGGAAUUGACGGGGGCCCGCACAAGCGGAGGAACAUGUGGUUUAAUUCGAUGAUACGCGAGGAACCUUACCCGGGCUUAAAUUGCAGAUGAAUUACGGUGAAAGCCGUAAGCCGCAAGGCAUCUGUGAAGGUGCUGCAUGGUUGUCGUCAGCUCGUGUCGUGAGAUGUUGGGUUAAGUCCCGCAACGAGCGCAACCCUUAUCCUCAGUAGCCAGCAGGUCAAGCUGGGCACUCUGUGGAGACUGCCAGGGAUAACCUGGAGGAAGGUGGGGAUGACGUCAAAUCAUCAUGCCCCUUAUGAUCUGGGCUACACACGUGCUACAAUGGCGGUCACAGAGUGAGGCGAACCUGCGAGGGGGAGCAAACCACAAAAAGGCCGUCCCAGUUCGGACUGUAGUCUGCAACCCGACUACACGAAGCUGGAAUCGCUAGUAAUCGCGAAUCAGCAUGUCGCGGUGAAUACGUUCUCGGGCCUUGUACACACCGCCCGUCACACCAUGAGAGUCGGUAACACCCGAAGCCGGUGGCCUAACCGCAAGGAAGGAGCUGUCUAAGGUGGGACUGAUGAUUGGGGUG